UCCAGCAUGGUAUAGUGGUUUAGGCUUUGGACUAUGACUCUUGAGACCAGGGUUCGAGUCCCGGUUCGGGCA